GGUGUUGUAGCUCAGUGGAAGAGCAGUUCCUGGGAAAUGGAAAAGGUCAUGAGUUCAAUCCUCAUCAACAGCUCAA
rnacentral:tRNA from 1 species